GAUGAAGAGAGUAAGCACAGCUGUACGUGAGAGCUUUCUAUGAACGUCAGCGAGGGUAAACACGCAUUUGGUAUAUCUGAUUUGUUCCUACUGCCAAACUACAUUCAUCUUCUUGGUUAUAGAGCCAUACUUGGAGUCAGGAAGAUUUUGGUUCAAAUCCUACCUUAGACCCUUCCUAACUCUGUGACCCUGGGUAAGUCAUUCACCUGAGUCUCCAUUUUGCAGUCUGAAAGCUGGGGUUACAGGUUGUUGUGAGAAUCUAGUACAUAAAAUGCUUUGUAAACUUUGAAGUGCGAUGUAAACGUCAGCUGGAUCCGCUCAGGGCUUCUUCAGUUUCUCCUUGAACCAACUUGAAUCAACUCCUGUUGAGUUCAUUCUCUCUCUCUCAGUGCCUCUGCCCCUCAGUCUGGUGGAUUAAUCCUGGAGGGCUUCCCUCUGACCCUCCCUUCUCCCACUCAUGCACAACUGCAUUGUGCUGAUUGUAGCCCCAACACUCUGGUGUCUGCUCCCUCUCCUCCAUUUCCACUGCCAAUACUCUGCUGCGAGCCAACCUUCUCACCCACCAGGACCCAGCUGGCAAUAAUCCCCAAGCAGGUCUUCCAGCCUUUUCUCUAUAUCCCCUCUCCAAUGCAUAAGGUUGCCAGAGAGACUUUCAGCCAAGAUGGCUGCCUCAAUGGGAGGUAGACCACCCACCUCCCGGAUGUCGACUCCAGCAAAACCCUGCUGUUCCCACCUGAUUGAAUAAUGAUUGAGAAAUUCAACGAGAAACAGCUUCUUUCACUCCAAAACCACACAAGAGGUCAGCCAGAAGCCCAUGGGAAAUAGGAAAGGGGGACACAAGCCAGCAAUCUCCCAGCCUGACCAGAGACACUUGGAGCCUGCCAGGAUUUGUGUCCAGAGGCAGGCAAGAGCGGAGGCUCCCACAUGGUCAAAAAGCCCUAGAGUGAGAUCCCUCAAAAGAAGAAGAGAAUAGCACUGAAAUAACUGCCAGCAGAGAUUCAAAGGAAAUAACAUGGAUUUAUUCACAAGAAGUACAUGAAUACCUAAAGAAAUGAAUUACAAGAGAGAGCCAGUCGUUAAAUAUUUUACAGCAUAACCUUGAAUAUAAUGCUAACAUCCUAACAGAGGAAGAGGAAACAAGUGUCCCUUCAGGAUCUUAAUGUCCUCUAAGGGUAUUGGGUGAGUUAAAUGAGAAAAACGGAGGAUCUAGGGAGUGCAUUGGCUCUGUUCUGGGGGUUUGAAUAAGGAAAAUACAACAGUGGGUAAAAAGAAGAAAUAGCAUAGAAAGAAGGAAGAAGGGGGUGGAACUUGCUAUUUCUCAUAAUUUGGGUAUGUGAGAAGCACCUGGAGAAAGGCUAGUACUAUGGGAGCUGUGCAGCUUCUCUUGGAUAGGCCUUCUUUAGGGACCAAGAUCUCCCCACAGACAAUCAGGGAAAUGUUGUAGACUCUGAUUCAUGGGGGGACCUUCCUCCAUUAGUAGAUGGCAACUACCCUAUGACAUAGCUACUGAGUCUUAGGGAGCUAGAAGGAGGUAAAGCACCUCACAAGCUUUAAAGCAACAUCAAUAGUCAGUUAUUACUACUGCCUACAAGGGUCACCCAACUAGUAAUUGACAGAGGCAGAAUGUUAACCCAGGUCUUGAUUGAUUCCAAAUUCAACAAUCUAUCCACUAAAGCUAAGCCAUAUUGCUUCCAUAUUGUUGCAUUCUCUACAAAUUCAAUGUUUACAAAUGUAAUUGUCUUUUUUUUAAAGAAAAUUUUAAGCCCUGAGACAUACA